GAUGAACGCUAGCGGCAGGCUUAACACAUGCAAGUCGAGGGGUAGGAGAAGCUUGCUUUUCUGAGACCGGCACACGGGUGCGUAACGCGUAUGCAAUCUACCUUUCACAGAGGGAUAGCCCAGAGAAAUUUGGAUUAAUACCUCAUAGUAUAAUUGAGUGGCAUCAUUUAAUUAUUAAAGAUUUAUCGGUGAAAGAUGAGCAUGCGUCCCAUUAGCUAGUUGGUAUGGUAACGGCAUACCAAGGCAACGAUGGGUAGGGGUCCUGAGAGGGAGAUCCCCCACACUGGUACUGAGACACGGACCAGACUCCUACGGGAGGCAGCAGUGAGGAAUAUUGGACAAUGGGCGCAAGCCUGAUCCAGCCAUGCCGCGUGCAGGAUGACGGUCCUAUGGAUUGUAAACUGCUUUUAUACAGGAAGAAACACCUCUACGUGUAGAGACUUGACGGUACUGUAAGAAUAAGGAUCGGCUAACUCCGUGCCAGCAGCCGCGGUAAUACGGAGGAUCCAAGCGUUAUCCGGAAUCAUUGGGUUUAAAGGGUCCGUAGGCGGUCAGGUAAGUCAGUGGUGAAAGCCCAUCGCUCAACGGUGGAACGGCCAUUGAUUCUGUCUGACUUGAAUUAUUAGGAAGUAACUAGAAUAUGUAGUGUAGCGGUGAAAUGCUUAGAGAUUACAUGGAAUACCAAUUGCGAAGGCAGGUUACUACUAAUUGAUUGACGCUGAUGGACGAAAGCGUGGGUAGCGAACAGGAUUAGAUACCCUGGUAGUCCACGCCGUAAACGAUGGAUACUAGCUGUUGGGAGCAAUCUCAGUGGCUAAGCGAAAGUGAUAAGUAUCCCACCUGGGGAGUACGAACGCAAGUUUGAAACUCAAAGGAAUUGACGGGGCCCGCACAAGCGGUGGAGCAUGUGGUUUAAUUCGAUGAUACGCGAGGAACCUUACCAAGGCUUAAAUGUAGAUUGACCGGUUUGGAAACAG
rnacentral:rRNA from 1 species